rnacentral:rRNA from 1 species
CAUCUAAACUCAAAGAUUUAUCGCCUAAGGAUGAGUCUGCGGACUAUCAGGUUGUAGUCAGGGUAAUGGCCUGACUACCCUACAACGGAUACGGGUUGUGAGAGCAAUAACCCGGAGACGAUAUCUGAGACACGAUAUCGGGCCCUACGGGGCGCAGCAGGAGCGAAACCUUCACACUGUGCGAAAGCGCGAUGAGGGGAUCCCAAGUGCUUGCUCUUAGGAGUAAGCUGUUUUCCUGUUUAAAUCGCAGGAAGAGGAAGGGCUGGGAAAGACGGGUGCCACCCGCCGCGAUAAUACCUGCAACUCAAGGGAUGACCGCUAUUAUUGGGCCUAAAACGUCCGUACCCGGCUGAAUAAAUGCCUGGGUAAAUCGUGUCGCUUAACGAAACUAAUUCCGGGAAGACUGCUCAGCUUGGGACCGGAAGAAUAUAGAGGUACUCCUGGGGUAGAGGUUAAAUUCUGUACUCCUGGGGGGACCACCAGUGGCGAAGGCGCCUAGCUAGAACGGGUCUGACGGUGAGAAACCAAACCCUGGG